rnacentral:lncRNA from 1 species
UUUGUUCCAAAAGAAAGCCAAGAAGGACGGUGUUAAUAAAGAGAGAUUUAACUGAGGGCUGUGCUUGGAAUAAAGUGGACUACAAAAAGGUCAAAUUUGAUCAGUUGGAGCAGAUUACAAGGGCUUUAAAAGGUAGUGGUGAAGAAAUGAAACUGGGACUGUGAAGCAAUAUAGCACAAGAUUGAUUUUGGGGGUGGAGAGAAGCUGGGACAAGUGCUUAUCAGCUUGAGAAGGAGGAAGAGCUGUGCCGGGUUUGUUGUCAUUCCCACACUGAGUAGAGUACUUGCUGCUUUUGUGGUUAGCCUUCCCUGCCGUGGUUGUUCUUCCUUUUUUUAUUUUAACUUAUAUAUAUUUUAUUGUUAUUAUUACUACAAUGGUGUCUAUAAUCUCUGACUUGGAUCCUCUGAAAAGCUGGAAAGUUUUAAGAGAGACUGCCACAGAGUUAUCUGGAACAUUACCAAGGAUUUUCUGUUGGGAACGCAGAUGCACCUGCACUGAUGUGCUCUUGGAUGCCAAAGAGACUGUGUGACUAUGGGGGUUUUUUUUUUAGCUGAUUGCUUGGAUCUGACACUACAGGCUGUGCAGCUGUAGAAAAGACCUUCUCAUUUUCAUUGAGAAUAAAUAAAAUAAAAUAUUGCA